AGAUCUGUGGUCUGUGAUGUAUUUCUCUUCUGUGUGUGAUUAAACCAUGAGCUAUUUCACAGUAUUCGUCACUACCACUGAGACCACAUGGUU
ensembl:snoRNA small nucleolar RNA SNORD70